rnacentral:tRNA from 1 species
GAGGGUGUAGCUCAAGUGGUAGAGCACAUGCUUACCAUGCAUGAGGUCCUAGGUUCAAUCCCCAGUACUGCCU